rnacentral:rRNA from 1 species
GCAAGUCGAACGGUAACAGGCCGAAUAUAUUCUCCGGCAUAUUGUGGCGCUGACGAGUGGCGGACGGGUGAGUAAUGCAUAGGAAUCUACCCAGUAGUGGGGGAUAUCUUGGAGAAAUUCAAGUUAAUACCGCAUAUGUCCUACGGGGCAAAGCAGGGGACCUUCGGGCCUUGCGCUAUUGGAUGAGCCUAUGUCGGAUUAGCUAGUUGGUAGGGUAACGGCCUACCAAGGCAACGAUCCGUAGCUGGUCUGAGAGGAUGAUC